UUGUAGAGCCAGUUAUUGCGGUUAUGAACACUAGUCCUAGGAUCGGGCAUGGUGAAUAGGCAAAGAACUUGGUUAUUAAUUAUAAGCUCAAACUCGUCAGAUCCUAGGUUUGCUAUAAACAUAGUGUUGAAGAGGAAGGGUAUACUCAUAGUAGUAAUGCCACAAAAAGGGCUUAAGUCAAGCAUAGACUGACGUAAUCCGAUAGCAUUACCAAUCAUGGUUAUCAAACCGCCUAUUCGAAU
rnacentral:lncRNA from 1 species